AUGAUGUGUCACUCAUAUG
rnacentral:snRNA from 1 species